AACAAUCAACAGGGCUUUGAAGUGGAAAAGGAGUGGGUGGUAGGGGGGGUGUGUGGCUUUAGGGUCUCUGGCUUAGGAAGCUGAGUCUCCGUAGUGCCAUUCAUACAGAUGGAAUGAGGGAAGAAGCAGUUUCAUGGGAAAGUAGUAAAUUUGAUUGAGUAACAAGAGCUUGGGGGAUCCAGAAGAGAGCUAGGUUUGCAGUUCAGGAGUCCAGGAGAGAGUCAAACUGAAAACAUAAGCCCAUGGAUAGUCAGUCAUUGAAGCCAUGGGAAUGAAGAUCACCUAUGGGAAACACAGAUAGAAGCGAAUGUUACCACAGUGAAGUGUGGUCUAUACAAUUAAUUGCUGCAAAGAGGUCAGAAUAGAGUGAUCUGUGAUAUCUUCCCACUAAUCCCAAGUCAGGAGAGAGAGAGAAUGAAGAUCCAUUGCUGUAGAGGAACAAACUGAACAUGUUGAAGGUCCCGCAAGGCCAGUGUGGCUGGAAUGCAGACACAAAGCCAGGAGGAACAAGAGAUGGGGCUGACAAGAGAGGCAGGAGUCAGAUCUCAUGGGAACUGUCACCUGCAGUGUUGCAGACCUCUUUGAAUACACCAUGAGCACUGUGGAUUCUCGCCUCUGGAGAAUAAAAAUCACAUACAGAAAAGUUCAGACAACUUUAAGGAGUUUGAAGAAUCCCUGCUAGUCGUGGACCCAUCUGGGGUUGGUGGAUUCCUGACCAUGACUCUUUGGAUUCAGAAGUCAUAUAAGAUGCAGUUUAACAAACAUUGGAAGUCAAACGAGCAUUCUGAGGAAAAACAGCAUCUUCCAUACAUCAUCUUCUGGAAUAUCCCAGAUCUGGAAGAGGUCACAGGAAUGUCCAUUCAUAGGGAGCUCUACCUGGAGCUCAGAGAUGAUUGAGAGAGGGUAAUCAUCAUAGAUGUGUCCAAGUGAAGGUAGUUUGGAAAGAAACAAAGUUACCCUUUUUUCUCACUAAACAUCUUAGGGUCCCCAUUAGCAGGAAGGAAGGAAGAGGACAGGUGAGCUCCCUGGUAUUGAUGUAUUUACAGAGAACCUAGGCAUCAGCCAUACAUACAGAGGACACUCAUUUGGCCAGAAUUUGGGCUUUGACUUUAAUUAAAUUCCCUUGCUCCCAAUAAGACCUCUCUUAAUCUGAAAACAAUUUGUCAUAAGUGAUGUACCUGCCAAGACCUCAUGGCAAAGAGGCAGGGGGUACCUAGUAAAUGUUGCUGACAAACUCCAGCAUGACUCUAAAGGGACAGUGGCUUCCUUUGGAUGGUCAUGUGCUGCUGCUGGACAUAGCAAUCAGAAGGACAGUCGUGAACACCCAGGAGUGAACCAAGAUGCAAAGUUCAAGUCCGAGGGAAGAAGGGUGCAGUGCGGAAGAAGGGAAGGCAGAUGCUGCAGCCCUGCCUACAAGCAAGGAGGGAGCCAUUAAGAGCCCCAAGCUGGCCAGGCGCGGUGGCUCGCGCCUGUAUUCCUAAUCCCGGCACUUUGGGAAGCCAAGGUGGACGGAUCACCUGAGGUCAGGAGUUUGAGACCAGCUUGACCAACAUGGAGAAACUCUGUCUCUACUAAAAAUACAAAAUUAGCCAGGAGGCUGAGGCAGAAGAAUUGCUAGAAUCCGGGAGGUAGAGGUUGCAGUGAGCCGAGAUCGUGCCAUUGCACUCUAGCCUGGGCAACAAGAGCGAAACUCCAUCUCAAAAAAACAAAAAAGCCCCAAGCCUACUUUAUCAGACAGAGGAAUCAAGUUGUAUUUCCUUCUCACCAAGAGAUGCUGGAAAGCUGUAAUCUUACACCAGUGGAGAAAGUGAGAGGAAAAUAAACCCUUUCUAAGGAUGAAUCCUGAAAGCCUUUCACAGACAAUGCUGGUUCUAUAAGAAUGACCUGUGAUGGGUAAGCCAUCACAGUCUUCAUUCCAAUUGACAUUCUAGGUAAACCUGCGCACAACUUUUUCUGUGUAUUUUCCAAAAAAGGAUCAUUUUAUAAAGGCUCAAGUUAUUUACAAAUAUUGUGCAUAUUCUUGCUGUUUCUCAGUUCUUUAAGAACCAUACAGACAUAUUGCCUGGAUUUCCACCAGCCAAUAUGAAUGUGCUCGCCUUCCCUUGGGUGAGACCACACAGGCACAACAUGCGGCUCAGGAUAAGUUUUAUUGAACUUUUAGAGAGCUAGUUAAUUAAUUAAUUAUUUUUUUGAGAUGGAGUCUUGCUCUGUCGCCCAGGUUGGGGUGCAGUGGCAUGAUCUCAGCUCACUCUGCCUUCCGGGUUCAAGUGAUUCUCUUGCCUCAGCCCCCGGAGUAGCUGGGAUUACUGGCAUGUGCCACAACACCCAGCUCAUUUUUGUAUUUUUAGUACAAACUGGAUUUCACCAUGUUGGGCAGGCUGGCCUCGAACUCCUGACCUCACGUAAUCUGCCCGCCUCGGCCUCCCAAAGUGUUGGGAUUACAGGCGUGAGCCACAGCGCCUGGACCAAGAGCUAGUUAAUUUAAAAAAUAGUUUACAAGUUAUUUAAUAAAUGAGAAAAUGGAAACUCAGCCCCAAGGGGAAAUGGGAUUCUAAGUUUAACUUCCUUAGGCAGGUCCAGUUUUGUGUGGUUUCUGUGGUAUGGGUGAGUGGUUAUCACACAAUUUGAUCUCAUGAGUAAAACUGAUGCAGGAGG